GGGUAGCGGAACACGUACGCAACAUACCCUUGUCUGGGGCAUAGCCCGAAGAAAUUCGGAUUAACACCCCAUAAGAUCACAAAAAUGGCAUCAUUUAGUGAUAAAAAAUUUAUUGGACAGGGAUUGGCGUGCGUCCUAUUAGCUAGUUGGUAAGGGUAACGGCCUACCAAGGCGACGAUCGGUAGCUGGUCUGAGAGGAUGGUCAGCCACACUGGGACUGAGACACGGGCCCG
rnacentral:rRNA from 1 species